rnacentral:rRNA from 1 species
UACGUAGGGGGCAAGCGUUGUCCGGAUUUAUUGGGCGUAAAGAGCGUGUAGGCGGCCUGGUAGGUCAGCUGUGAAAACUCGAGGCUCAACCUCGAGACGCCGGUUGAAACCAUCAGGCUAGAGUCCGGAAGAGGAGAGUGGAAUUCCCGGUGUAGCGGUGAAAUGCGCAGGUAUCGGGAAGAACACCCGUGGCUAAGGCGGCUCUCUAGUACGGUACUGACGCUGAGACGCGAAAGCGUGGGGAGCGAACAGG